UACGGAGGGUGCAAGCAUUGAUCGGAAUUACUGGGCGUAAAGGGCGCGUAGGCGGCGAUGAAAGUCAGAUGUGAAAUUCCGGGGCUCAACCCCGGAGCUGCAUUUGAAACUCCAUGGCUAGAGUACAGUUAGGGAAAACGGAAUUCCACGUGUAGCGGUGAAAUGCGUAGAUAUGUGGAAGAACACCGGUGGUGAAGACGGUUUUCUGGGCUGAAACUGACGCUGAGGCGCGAAAGCUAGGGGAGCAAACAGG
rnacentral:rRNA from 1 species